AAUAUCUAAUAUAUUUAGACUUGGCUUAUCAUAUUAGAAAUGUAUUUUCAGUCCUUUUCUUUAUCAGUAGUCGGUUAUGCCCAACUAUUGGUGAUGCAGCGGUUAAAUCAUUUAAUAGUGUUGACACAAACUCCCAUUUUAUGAAUGGAGCACUCAUGGACUCAAAUGUUUCAUCAUUUGGAUUUUUGGGGCAGAUUCCUAUUGACUCAGAUAUUUAAUCAAUUUGAUUUUUGGGGCAUAUUUCUAGAAACUUCAGUGUUCUAGAUCUGACUGCUGAUCUUCUUCAGAGUUCUGAUUGAACAGCACCCCUAAAAUGAAGUGUCUGUAAAUAGAAGUUUAGAAGUUUGACAGACUAUGAAAUUCCAACUCUUCGGUUAACGCGUGUAUAUGAAUUCACUAACCAUAAUCUGUAAUGAAGGGAAAUUAAAUUUGAAAGGGUUUAUAUGUACUUAAAGAAUCAAGCAAUUCAUUCACAUACCAGUUGAGCCGCCUGCCACUGUGGAGGAUAACCAACUGCCAUCUUCAUGGCCUUCUAAGAGUUGGAGGUAACAUUACAUCCAUGUCUUAGAAUUUGGUUUUAAGGGCCUAGCUCAUGCCUAUCAAACACACUUGUGAGGAAACAAGACUACAAGGGUUUUCAACACUACCGUCAUGUAAACAAGUCGACACAUUGAUUGUCUUACAAAUCACAAUCUUUGUGUUCCAGGCCAACAGAUUGUGCUUCCUUCUGCUAAGGUGGCUACUACAGUCCUGAUAAGGCACUAUGAUUAUGUUGAUGAAUUUCCAUGAGGUACUUGAAGUUCAGGUUACAAAAAGUGAGAUCAAAUGAUUUUCAUGGAGACAGAUGGAGGAAUUGAAAACUUUGAUCCAAGUGAUUCCAAUUUGGCCCGCUGGAAUUCUUGGAGUGCAUGUGAUCUAAUUGAA